AUUGAACGCUGGCGGCAGGCCUAACACAUGCAAGUCGAGCGGAUGACGGGAGCUUGCUCCUUGAUUCAGCGGCGGACGGGUGAGUAAUGCCUAGGAAUCUGCCUGGUAGUGGGGGACAACGUUUCGAAAGGAACGCUAAUACCGCAUACGUCCUACGGGAGAAAGCAGGGGACCUUCGGGCCUUGCGCUAUCAGAUGAGCCUAGGUCGGAUUAGCUAGUUGGUGAGGUAAUGGCUCACCAAGGCGACGAUCCGUAACUGGUCUGAGAGGAUGAUCAGUCACACUGGAACUGAGACACGGUCCAGACUCCUACGGGAGGCAGCAGUGGGGAAUAUUGGACAAUGGGCGAAAGCCUGAUCCAGCCAUGCCGCGUGUGUGAAGAAGGUCUUCGGAUUGUAAAGCACUUUAAGUUGGGAGGAAGGGCAGUAAGUUAAUACCUUGCUGUUUUGACGUUACCGACAGAAUAAGCACCGGCUAACUCUGUGCCAGCAGCCGCCGUAAUAC
rnacentral:rRNA from 1 species